rnacentral:rRNA from 1 species
CGGUUCUGGGAUAGCCCGGGGAAACCCGGAUUAAUACCGGAUAGCCUCUCUGGCUUUCGAGCCGGCGAGAAAAGGUAGCUUCGGNNNCCGACUGAGGAUGAGCCCGCGGCGGAUUAGCUUGUUGGUGGGGUAACGGCCUACCAAGGCGACGAUCCGUAGCUGGUCUGAGAGGACGAUCAGCCACACUGGGACUGAGACACGGCCCAGACUCCUACGGGAGGCAGCAGUGGGGAAUCUUGCGCAAUGGGCGAAAGCCUGACGCAGCGACGCCGCGUGCGGGAAGAAGGCCUUCGGGUUGUAAACCGCUUUCAGGAGGGACGAAGCCACUCGGGUUAAUAGCCCAGAGGGUGACGGUACCUCCAGAAGAAGCCCCGGCUAACUACGUGCCAGCAGCCGCGGUAAUACGUAGGGGGCAAGCGUUGUCCGGAUCUAUUGGGCGUAAAGAGCGUGUAGGCGGCCAGAUAGGUGGGUUGUGAAAACUGGAGGCUUAACCUUCAGACGUCGACCCAAACCAUCUGGCUAGAGUCCGGAAGAGGAGAGUGGAAUUCCUGGUGUAGCGGUGAAAUGCGCAGAUAUCAGGAAGAACACCCGUGGCUAAGGCGGCUCUCUAGUACGGUACUGACGCUGAGACGCGAAAGCGUGGGGAGCGAACAGGAUUAGAUACCCUGGUAGUCCACGCCGUAAACGAUGGGUGCUAGGUGUGGGGGGUGUCGACUCCCUCCGUGCCGAAGCUAACGCAUUAAGCACCCCGCCUGGGGAGUACGGCCGCAAGGCUAAAACUCAAAUGAAUUGACGG